AUUGAACGCUGGCGGCAGGCUUAACACAUGCAAGUCGAGCGAGCGGCGGACGGGUGAGUAAUGUCUGGGAAACUGCCUGAUGGAGGGGGAUAACUCCUGGAAACGGUAGCUAAUACCGCAUACCAUCAGAUGUGCCCAGAUGGGAUUAGCUAGUAGGUGGGGUAAUGGCUCACCUAGGCGACGAUCCCUAGCUGGUCUGAGAGGAAGACCAGCCACACGGGAACUGAGACACGGUCAAGACUCCGACGGGGGGCAGAAGUGGGGAAUAUUGCACAAUGGGCGCAAGCCUGAUGCAGCCAUGCCGCGGGAGUGAUGAAGGCCUUCGGGUUGUAAAGCACUUUCAGCGAGGAGGCGUUACUCGCAGAAGAAGCACCGGCUAAGUCCGUGCCAGCGGCCGCGGUAAUAC
rnacentral:rRNA from 1 species